GCGGUGGUAGUUCAGUGGUAGAAUUCUUGCCUGCCGUGUGGGAGACCUGGGUUUGAUUCCCAGCCAAUGCA
rnacentral:tRNA from 1 species